rnacentral:tRNA from 1 species
GGGCAAUUAGCUCAGCGGUAGAGCGCAUCGCUUACAUCGAUGAGGUCGCAGGUUCGAAUCCUGCAUUGCCCA